AACGAACGCUGGCGGCAGGCCUAACACAUGCAAGUCGAGCGAGACCUUCGGGUCUAGCGGCGGACGGGUGAGUAACGCGUGGGAACGUGCCCUUUUCUACGGAAUAGCCUCGGGAAACUGAGCGUAAUACCGUAUACGCCCUUGGGGGAAAGAUUUAUCGGAGAAGGAUCGGCCCGCGUUGGAUUAGGUAGUUGGUGGGGUAAUGGCCUACCAAGCCUACGAUCCAUAGCUGGUUUGAGAGGAUGAUCAGCCACACUGGGACUGAGACACGGCCCAGACUCCUACGGGAGGCAGCAGUGGGGAAUCUUAGACAAUGGGGGCAACCCUGAUCUAGCCAUGCCGCGUGAGUGAUGAAGGCCUUAGGGUUGUAAAGCUCUUUCAGCUGGGAAGAUAAUGACGGUACCAGCAGAAGAAGCCCCGGCUAACUCCGUG
rnacentral:rRNA from 1 species